rnacentral:misc_RNA from 1 species
AACGCACAUUGCGCCCUUUGGCAUUCCGAAGGGCAUGCCCGUUCGAGCGUCAUUACACCACUCAAGCCUGGCUUGGUAUUGGGCAUUAUCUUCACUGAUAGGCCUUCAAUUCUUCGGCUGGACGGUACGAAUCUCAGCGUUGUGGUUUAAUCAAAUCGCUGGCGAGGAGGACCGGACGUCGCCGUAAAACUUCAUUACAGGUUGACCUCGGAUCGGGUAGGGAUACCCGCUGAACUUAA